GAGAGUCUCCUGCCUCAAACAGACCAUCUUCUCUCUGUGGGCCCCAAGGCUGGAAUGGAUUUCUGGACACCAACAGAUGAGCAGAAAAGGGAAAUAAGCCCUUCAUGAAAACGAUGGCGUGUUGGCAGGACUUUCAAGGAUUAACACCAUGAAGGUAUUCAGGGCUGCAGACCAUGCAAACAUUUGUGGCUUUGAGAUGUAACGUUGCCAGGGUGGAUACACGUGCCCU